rnacentral:rRNA from 1 species
UACGUAGGGGGUGAGCGUUGUCCGGAGUUACUGGGCGUAAAGGGCAUGCAGGCGGUCGGACGCGUUUCGGGUGACAGCGGGUGGCUUAACUACCCGAGUGGUCGAAAGACGGUUUGACUUGAGGACGCGAGAGGGACACGGAAUUCCGGGUGGAGUGGUGAAAUGCGUAGAGAUCCGGAGGAACACCGAAGGCGAAGGCAGUGUCCUGGCGCGUAACUGACGCUGAGGUGCGAAAGCCAGGGGAGCGAACGGG